rnacentral:rRNA from 1 species
UACGGGGGGGGCAAGGCGUUGUUCGGAAUUACUGGGCGUAAAGCGCGUGUAGGCGGCCCUGCAAGUCGGAUGUGAAAUCCCACGGCUCAACCGUGGAAGUGCAUUCGAAACUGCAGGGCUAGAGUCCUGGAGAGGAAGGUGGAAUGCUUGGUGUAGAGGUGAAAUUCGUAGAUAUCAAGCGGAACACCGGUGGCGAAGGCGGCCUUCUGGACAGUGACUGACGCUGAGACGCGAAAGCGUGGGGAGCAAAAGCAGG